UACGUAGGGUGCGAGCGUUAUUCGGAAUUAUUGGGCGUAAAGCGUGCGCAGGCGGCUUUGUAAGCCAGAUGUGAAAUCCCCGGGCUUAACCUGGGAAUGGCAUUUGGGACUGCAAGGCUUGAGUGCGGCAGAGGAGACUGGAAUUCCUGGUGUAGCAGUGAAAUGCGUAGAUAUCAGGAGGAAUACCGAUGGCGAAGGCAGGUCUCUGGGCUGACACUGACGCUCAUGCACGAAAGCGUGGGGAGCAAACAGG
rnacentral:rRNA from 1 species